rnacentral:rRNA from 1 species
CCUACGGGAGGCAGCAGUGGGGAAUAUUGCACAAUGGGGGAAACCCUGAUGCAGCAACGCCGCGUGAGUGAAGACGUAUCUCGGUAUGUUAAGCUCUUUUAGCAGGGAAGCAGAAAGACGGUCCCGGACCAAGAAGCCCCGGCUAACUACGUGCCAGCAGGCGCGGUAAUACGUAGGGGGCAAGCGUUAUCGGGAUUUACUGGGGGUAAAGGGAGCGUAGGCGGCUGUGCAAGUCUGAAGUGAAAGCCCGUGGCUCAACCGCGGAACUGCGUGGGAAACUGUGUAGCUCGAGUAGUGGAGAGGCAGGCGGAAUUCCUGGUGUAGCGGUGAAAUGCGUAGAUAUUAGGAGGAACACCAGUGGCGAAGGCAGCCUACUGGACAACAACUGACGUUGAGGCUCGAAAGCGUGGGGAGCAAACAGGAUUAGAUACCCUAGUAGUC